UGGAGAAUAGAGACAGUGCCUGAGUCGCCAGGAAAUCUGUCCCCUGCUCAUCCCAGAAUCCCCGAGGUUUGACUUUUUAAGAGAACAUGUGACAGAUAAUGCCAUCUGAGAAGCUUAGGCAACUCAGUCAUCAAUGUGUCCUCGAGAAGAGCAUAUCCCCAAACUGGAAAAUAAUCCUGCAGGGCAUCUGAACAUAACCACAUUUGGCUUACUUGGUGAAGCAGUUGUCCAAAUAGAAUAAGACUGGCUUGGAACAAGAUUCACAGAGCAACCAAAUAAAGAUGAUUGAGUGAAUGGCUAAAGAAAUAAAUAUGUUCGAAUCUGUA
rnacentral:lncRNA from 1 species